AUGGACACAGGGAGGGGAACACCACAUACUGGGGCCUGUUGUGGGGAGCGGGGAGGAGGGAGCAUCAGGCUAAAUAGCUGAUGCAUGUGGUGCUUAAUACCUAGGUGAUGGGUUGAUAGGUGCAGCAAAUCACCAUGGCACACAUUUACCUAUGUAACAAGCCUGCACAUCCUGCACUUGUAUCCCAGAACUCAAAUUAUUAAAAUAAUCAGAAUGUGGGAUCAUCUUGAUGUCAUCUUCAAUAUGUUAUAAGCCUCUGGUGACUUAUUAACACCAAAUAACAUUUACUGAACACUUGAAUACAUUUAGGUUUUCACCAAAACAGUAAAUUCAGGGCCAGGUGUAGUGCCUCACACCUGUAGUUCCAGCCACUCAGGAGGCUGAGUCAGGAGUAUUGCUUGAGCCCAGGAGUUGGAGGCUGUAGUGAGCUAGGAUCACACCAUUGCACUCUAACCUGGGUGAAAGAGCAAGACUCUGUCUCAAAAAAAAAAAAAAAGUAGAUUCAGAUGUGCUUUAAGCCUUUAUGAGCAUGCAUAUUAAAUAGGUGGCACAUGAAAGUGCAUAUUCACACUUCAUAAUGUGAAAACAGUUAUAACAGCACAGAGAGACCACAUCAAGGACAGGUUGGAAGUAGCAUAUAGUAGUAUGCAGCCGUAUAAUCAAAGUCGCCCAUUUCAGAAACUAAAAACAUGAAUGAAAAAUGAGGCAGAAUGGACCAGCAGAACCAUACUGGCAGCAUUCAAAGGAAACAGGUAGCACAGCCUCACACUAUAAACUCUGAACAGCAGCAGACAAAAGACCUGCUAGAAUUGGAAUUUGGCUCCUAUACUCUGGCUUCUUAGAAGCUGUGCAUGGGCAAGGACAAGGUUAGUAAUUUGUGAAAAGCCAAAUGCAUUUGGAGGGAAUCAAAUGCCUGUUGAGUCAGCGCCUAGGGGAGAUAUCAGAAAGUGUUUCUCCAAGGUGGAAGCUCCUCCCCAAUCACGUAUACAGUCAUCCAGCAUUAUUCAGCAGGGCUACUGCCAGCCCACAUGCAGCCCUGUGUGUGAGUGAGUGGCACCUUUGUACAGAGAAAGGUCCUUUCUCUGAGCAGAUGUGACCCCACACCGGGACACAUGGCUCAGAGUAAACUGGAUUUCAGCCCCCAGCUGCAUUCUCACUGGCUCCCUAGUGCAAUGCACUGACCUAAUGACUGUCUCAGUCCUGCUUGCCAAGGAAGGGAAAGCUGUUGGGAGUGGCAUUCUCACACUGUCUGGGAGGGAGGCAGUUGAGAUGCAAGGCUCCCCAGAACUCUGUCUCUAAUGGCAGGUGGUCUGGGAGCCGGUCCUGACCUGGGUCUUGUUACCUGAGAGGGUGGGGCUUAUGAGGAGUGGUGAUUUGAGUUGACUGACUCCCUUCUUAUUUUCUUCUGUAAUGUUGUUUAAAACUGGACAGAAUUCACUCUGCCUAGUCAGGGGCAUAUCCUGUUUCCAAGGACAGCGUCUUCCAAUGUGGAUGGUUCCGCCAAACCAGAUGAGCAUAUGGCUGUUCAGAUACACCCUGCAUUUGCUUGGGAUUUCAAUGGAAUGUGAGCAGAGAUUACUUGAGACAUAUCGGACACUAAAAGCAAGCCCCAGUUGCAUCUUGUGGAAAGCACUGAGAGCUACCAAAUAUAUACAGACGUUUCCAGCAUGAGUAUAUUUCAUUCCCUUUGAGAUCCCACAAUAAAAUGAAAGUGAAGAAACUCAAUAACAUCAGUCAAGUGCCCGCCCUACAAUGGUGGAGGAGAAACACAAUGCGAGAUCAAUGACUCAAGAUGAAGCCAAAUAUGCUCCAGUGAGCAUGGUAACUGGAAAAAUUGCCUUAUUUUUGUGUUCCCUGGGUGUGCAUGUGGCAACCUAGGACAACAUUUAAAUAGAUGUGUAAGAAAAAAGGGUAGACAGUACAAAGCAUGAUAAUCACAUGAAGGCAUCAGCUCCUGACAGCCCGCUACAGGCCGGCUUUCACGUUGUGGGUGGCAUUAGGUAGAUAGCCCACAGAGACAAUGGAUCUGAGGUCAGGAGAACACAGCCAAGGCUACACAAAACAGAGAAGAUUCUGCUGACUUUCAAAAGAGGCUCUAAGUCUAUGAAUUGACUCAGGCCAUGGAAUUGAAUAAGGGACUGAUUUUUUUAAUAGUGACUCAUAUGAGUCCUGUUCGCCAGACCCACAGCAUGAUCAAUGACACAGAGCAGAAACUGUGCCCAGCUUGCUUCAGGUGCUGCCACUUGUCUUCUGUGACUCCUGGAUGGCAUGAUUCUAACUGAAAAAGGAAGAUCUCAUUUUAUGAGUGGCCUUUAUCUUAAUCCCCUGCCCACAAAGGAUAACUUCUAAGUCUCUUUUCAAAAAUAAAUGUAUUCUGAAAUAACAUCAUUUGAAGCAACAAAGAUGGAACUGGAGGCCAUUAUGUUAAGUGAAACACCUCAGACACACAAAUACCACAGGUUCUCACUCCCAAGUGGGGGCUAAGUAACAUGUACACAUGGAAUCUGGGUGUGGAAUGAUGAGCAGUGGGGACUCAGAAGGAUGGGAGUGAGUGGAAGGCAGGUAAUGAUGGAGUUGCUUAGUAGGUACAAUGUGUAUUGCUCCAGUGAUGGAUGCACUGAAGGCAUUGACCUCAUCACAAUACAAUAUAUGAACGUAACAAAAUGGUGCUGGUACCCCAUGAAUAUACACAAAUUUAACAAGAAAAUCAAUGCAAUUCACUAUAUUAACA